UUAGAAAUAUCUUGUCCAAUUUGUGGAAAAGAUAGAAAAGGGGAAGAAUCAAUGACUAUCCAUAUGAAAAAACAUAAGGACAACAGACAUUUUUGCUGUGAUAUUUGCAAAUUUAAAACUCUUCAAUUAAAGAAAUUAAUCCAACAUCGCCGUAUGCAUACAGGAGAAAAACCCCAUUUGUGUCCAUUCUGUUCCUACAGAUCCGCCCGAAGAGAUAAUUUAAGAAGCCACGCUCGACGGGUUCAUAAAAAAGAUAGCUUACCCUGCGACACAUUUAGGCCGCGAAAUAUGAUCCUGGAACCAUCAAAAUAAUUUUAUUUAAAUGUAAUUAUAUAACAUGGUGCUGAUUUAAGACUGUAUUGAUAUAUUUUAUGUCAUCUCAACUUGCCAAUACGAUACUAUUUGAAUGUGUCAUCAAACUGAAACGUUUCUAGUCAUUAUUGUAAUAAUAAUGUUAAUAAGGUGACUUAACGAAGGGAAUGAGCUAAAUUAUUUAACGCAAAGACUUUGAUAAAGACUAUAAUUAAUUAUAAAUAAUCUAAAGUACGUGUUUACAAUGCUCAUUCUCUUUUUAUAUUUUUUAAUUCAUUAAGUAAAUUUAUUCAAAUAUACUUUAUAUAUUAUAUACAAUUUACUUGUAGAUGUAUUAUAAUUGAUUUAAUUUUAUUCAUAUUUACCCUGUUUAGAUAAGUCCUUGUUAUUGAUGUUUAAUUAUCAAAAUAAAUGUUCUUGGCAACUU